CAGCCGCCGCGGUAAUACGGAGGGUGCAAGCGUUAUCCGGAUUUAUUGGGUUUAAAGGGUCCGUAGGCGGAUCUGUAAGUCAGUGGUGAAAUCUCACAGCUUAACUGUGAAACUGCCAUUGAUACUGCAGGUCUUGAGUAAAUUUGAAGUGGCUGGAAUAAGUAGUGUAGCGGUGAAAUGCAUAGAUAUUACUUAGAACACCAAUUGCGAAGGCAGGUCACUAAGAUUUAACUGACGCUGAUGGACGAAAGCGUGGGGAGCGAACAGGAUUAGAGACCCCUGUAGUCCCUGUCUCUUAUAC
rnacentral:rRNA from 1 species